rnacentral:rRNA from 1 species
CACAAACGACUCUCGGCAACGGAUAUCUCGGCUCUCGCAUCGAUGAAGAACGUAGCGAAAUGCGAUACUUGGUGUGAAUUGCAGAAUCCCGUGAACCAUCGAGUCUUUGAACGCAAGUUGCGCCCAAAGCCNUUAGGCUGAGGGCACGCCUGCCUGGGCGUCACGCA